GCCUCUGUGGUCUAGUUGGUCAUGACGCCGGUCUCAUAUUCGCUUUAUGACGAGCAGGAAACUGCUUGCAAUCCGGAGGUCGCCAGUUCGAUCCUGGCCGGGGGCA